rnacentral:rRNA from 1 species
GCAUAUCAAUAAGCGGAGGAAAAGAAACUAACAAGGAUUCCCUUAGUAACGGCGAGUGAAGCGGCAACAGCUCAAAUUUGAAAUCUGGCUCUCGGGCCCGAGUUGUAAUUUGCAGAGGAUGCUUCGGGUACGGGUGCCUUCCGAGUUCCCUGGAACGGGACGCCAUAGAGGGUGAGAGCCCCGUCUGGUAGGAUACCCAGCCCGUGUGACGCUCCCUCGACGAGUCGAGUUGUUUGGGAAU